GGGUUUAGACCGUCGUGAGACAGG
rnacentral:ncRNA from 7 species